AUUUAGAUAGUUUAUUUAAAAUUUUGAUUUGUGGCAUCAAAGAUAUAGUGAAGCUAUUCUA
rnacentral:tRNA from 1 species